GAGGAUAUAGCUCAGCGGUAGAGUGCAUGCUUAGCAAGCAUGAGGCCCUGUGUUCAAUUCCCAGUACUUCCA
rnacentral:tRNA from 1 species